rnacentral:rRNA from 1 species
CAGCACCUCAAGUGGUCAGGAUGAUUGUUGGGCCUAAAGCAUCCGUAGCCGGCGCUGUAAGUUUUCGGUUAAAUCUGUACGCUCAACGUACAGGCUGCCGGGAAUACUGCAGCGCUAGGGAGUGGGAGAGGUAGACGGUACUCGGUAGGAAGGGGUAAAAUCCUUUGAUCUAUUGAUGACCACCUGUGGCGAAGGCGGUCUACCAGAACACGUCCGACGGUGAGGGAUGAAAGCUGGGGGAGCAAACCGGAUUAGAUACCCGAGUAGUCC